rnacentral:lncRNA from 1 species
GUUUUUUUGUUACUGGGGCUUUUUUGUUUGGCUGGUUGGGUUUUUGUCCUUAUAGGGGAAGACGUGAAUAUCCUAUAAAGUUAGGAACAAUACCUAGGAGAAGGAGAGUAAACUGCACAAGAAGCAUCUGUCUUGCAAGAUAUGCCCUCCCUGUAAAAUUACUGUUGAAGAAGAGGCACGGCUGCUUCUAGUCCACAGGCUGGAUAGAGAGAAGGCUGAUACCUAUGUUCAAGAUAAUUCUCAUAUAAAGGUAAGAGGAUCUUUCACAAAAGGGAUAAAGCACCCCUUCAGGAGCAUGCUCUAAUCUUGGCUGGUAUGGGGCUCCUAAAAUUAUUGAUUGUUGCUGCUGCUUCUUUGAUUGCGCAGCAGUAGGUGAGCAGGUGUUGUGGGGUCAGCGUGGUUGGGUGGGCACAUUAGAG